CCCUAUUCUAUUUGUAUAUACCUAUUGAAGACAAGAGGAAGUCUUUGGGGAUUUACCUGGAUAUUUCACAUAAAUUACAGGGAAGUCCUGGUUUGCUUCAAAUUGUAUAUUUUUCACUGGGGUUGUGUUCACAUAUAUUGUUGUUUUUGUUUGUAAAACAGAGGAGGGAUUAUCUGAUUAUAUAUGGGAGUGUCCUGGAUCUGAGAGUGGUUGUGUAUUUGUUUAUACUGUGG